rnacentral:rRNA from 1 species
UGGGGGCUACUUGGAAAUGGGGGCACCCUGCUCCAGCCAUGCCGCGUGACUGAAGAAGGCCCUCGGGUUGUAAUGCUCCCUAGCGGGGGGAUGGUUCGUAACCUACUACGUUGCGGACCUGACGUUACCUGCAGACAUGCACCGGCUAACUCUGUGCCAGCAGCCGCGGUAAUACAGAGGGUGCGAGCGUUAAUCGGACCACUGGGCGUAAAGCGUGCGUAGGUGGCCGUUUAAGCUGGAUGUGAAAGCCCCGGGCUUACCUGGGAACUGCAUUCAGGACUGGACGGCUCGAGUCUGGGAGAGGGUGGUGGAAUUUCCGGUGUAGCGGUGAAAUGCGUAGAUAUCGGAAGGAACAUCAGUGGCGAAGGCGACCGCCUGGCCUAAGACUGACACUGAGGCACGAAAGCGUGGGGAGCAAACAGGAUUAGAUACCCUGGUAGUCCACGCCGUAAACGAUGUCGACUAGCCGUUGGAGACCCUCGUGGUUUUUAGUGGCGAAGCUAACGCGAUAAGUCGACCGCCUGGGAAUACGGCCGCAGGUUGAAACUCA